rnacentral:rRNA from 1 species
CCAGACUCCUACGGGAGGCAGCAGUGGGGGAUAUUGCACAAUGGGGGGAACCCUGAUGCAGCGACGCCGCGUGGGUGAAGAAGCGCCUCGGCGCGUAAAGCCCUGUCAGCAGGGAAGAAAAUGACGGUACCCGAAUAAGAAGCACCGGCUAAAUACGUGCCAGCAGCCGCGGUAAUACGUAUGGUGCAAGCGUUAUCCGGAUUUACUGGGCGUAAAGGGAGCGCAGGCGGCGCGCCAAGUCUGAUGUGAAACCCCGGGGCUCAACCCCGGGCAUGCAUUGGAAACUGGCGGGCUGGAGUGCAGGAGGGGCAGGCGGAAUUCCUGGUGUAGCGGUGAAAUGCGUAGAUAUCAGGAGGAACACCGGUGGCGAAGGCGGCCUGCUGGACUGCAACUGACGUUGAGGCCCGAAAGCGUGGGGAGCAAACAGGAUUAGAUACCCUUGUA